rnacentral:rRNA from 1 species
GAGUUUGAUCCUGGCUCAGAACGAACGCUGGCGGCAGGCUUAACACAUGCAAGUCGAGCGAAACCCCUCGGUUUAGGUCGGCGGACGGGUAGGUUAACGACGUGGGAACGGUAACCUUUUCGUUCUACGGAAGUAAGCCUCCGGGAAACCGGGGGAACGGUAAUAACCGUACUGUGCCUUUCGGGGUAAAGGGAAUUUAUUCGGCGAAAGAAUCGGCCCGGCCGUCUGAUUAGUAUAGUUGGUUGGGGG